UACGUAGGGGGCAAGCGUUGUCCGGAUUUAUUGGGCGUAAAGAGCGUGUAGGCGGUUUGGUAGGUCCGCUGUGAAAACUCGAGGCUCAACCUCGAGACGCCGGUGGAAACCAUCAGGCUAGAGUCCGGAAGAGGAGAGUGGAAUUCCUGGUGUAGCGGUGAAAUGCGUAGAUAUCGGGAGGAAUACCAGUGGCGAAGGCGACUUCCUGGCCUGUUCUUGACGCUGAGGCGCGAAAGCUAGGGGAGCAAACGGG
rnacentral:rRNA from 1 species